rnacentral:rRNA from 1 species
UACGAAGGGGGCUAGCGUUGCUCGGAAUCACUGGGCGUAAAGCGCACGUAGGCGGCUUUUUAAGUCAGGGGUGAAAUCCUGGAGCUCAACUCCAGAACUGCCUUUGAUACUGGAGAUCUCGAGCCCGGAAGAGGUGAGUGGAACUCCGAGUGUAGAGGUGAAAUUCGUAGAUAUUCGGAAGAACACCAGUGGCGAAGGCGGCUCACUGGUCCGGUACUGACGCUGAGGUGCGAAAGCGUGGGGGAGCAAACAGG